UCCUACGGGAGGCAGCAGUGGGGAAUAUUGGGCAAUGGGGGAAACCCUGACCCAGCAACGCCGCGUGAAGGAAGAAGGCCUUCGGGUUGUAAACUUCUUUUGCCAGGGACGAACAAAUGACGGUACCUGGAGAAAAAGCAACGGCUAACUACGUGCCAGCAGCCGCGGUAAU
rnacentral:rRNA from 1 species